rnacentral:tRNA from 1 species
GCUCUGGUGGUGUAGUGGUUAAGCACUUGGCUGCAAACCAAAAGGUCAGUGGUUCGAAUCCACCAGCU